rnacentral:rRNA from 1 species
AAUGAACGCUGGCGGCGCGCCUAAUACAUGCAAGUCGAGCGAGAAGACGUAGCAAUACGUUUGUAAAGCGGCGAACGGGUGAGGAAUACAUGGGUAACCUACCCUAGAGUGGGGAAUAACUAGCCGAAAGGUUAGCUAAUACCGCGUACGCUCCUUGGACUUCGGUUCAGGGAGGAAAGCGAUGCCGAGGGUAUCGCGCUCUUGGAUGGGCUCAUGUCCUAUCAGCUUGUUGGNGAGGUAACGGCUCACCAAGGCUUCGACGGGUAGCUGGUCUGAGAGGACGAUCAGCCACACUGGCACUGCGACACGGGCCAGACUCCUACGGGAGGCAGCAGUAAGGAAUAUUGCGCAAUGGGCGAAAGCCUGACGCAGCGACGCCGCGUGAGGGAUGACGGCCUGGUCGU